CGGGGCCGGGCGGGCAGAGGGCGGGACCGGAGGCGGGGCCAGGAUAGAGGGCGGGGCCGGGCGAGCAGAGGGCGGGGUCGGAGGCGGGGCCGGGGGCGGGGUCCGGCCCCGCUGCCCCGAGAGCAGAAAUUUCCUGCCGAAUUUGUCAAGAGAUGCCUAUGAGAAUCUAAAUUGGAGAACAGGGACAGGCAGGCCUGUCAGCUCUUCCUGCAAAACCACACAACACUGGGACAACAAUUAGCC
rnacentral:lncRNA from 12 species